rnacentral:lncRNA from 1 species
GUAUGCCCGCUGCUGUAUGUGAAGCCAAUUCCAAUAACAGCACUCCCACUGCCAGCCCUUGCCAACAGAGGACAGCCACUCCUGAGCUUCCCAGUGAUGCAGGAGCCCUUUUGUGCACUACAUUCCUUGUCCCUUUGGUAAAGGUUUCCAGGUUUCCAAGGGUAUCAACCCACAAGUCUUCAUCCCAAGUCCCAGGAUCCUGCUCUUUCCCAGCCCUGCCAGGACUGAGAAGUCAGCCCUCUCUGGAUGCUACUUUUAUCAUGAAGUCCUCCGCUUUGUCUGCCCUUUGGCUUCAGGAAAAUUCCAUCCCAAUUCAGCACCAAUGAAAAUGUUAACAAAUGGCCAGGAGCUAUCAGUGCUCUACUCGCCAUCAGUGAUGGGCUUCUCAUUGCCAGUCAAUGUAAAGAGAUACAGACUCUCUUACUGCCAAUUCACUUUAUUCCCGGGGCCUCGUCUCACCUGUCUCAAAAGUGAACUUCGUAUUUGGUUGUCGGGAUUCAGAAACACAUUCUGGAUAAGGAUGGAGCAUCACAGGACGGCUCGUGUCGGAGGAAGGGAUUUCUCCUGGGUUGUGCUGUUGUUAAUCACUCCAGAUACGUCUGAACGACAACAAACUCCCCAAGGGUUCCUUUCGAAAGCUCACACUUUGUUCUCCAAAGCCAUUGGGCCAAACAGCAACCAACAAACACAAAACAGCCCAUUUAAGAAAUCAAUACAGAGCCAGUCUUGAUGACCUAGUGGUUAAAGUUUGGUGCUCACUGAGUUUGCUGCGGCGGCCCGGGUUCGCUUCCAGGAUGCAGAACCACACCACCCAACUGUCAGGUGCCAUGCUGUGGGGGCGGCUCACACAGAAGAACCAGAAAGACUUACAACCAUGAGUACAACCGCAUAC